rnacentral:rRNA from 1 species
UACGGGGGGAGCAAGCGUUGUUCGGAUUUACUGGGCGUAAAGGGCGCGUAGGCGGCUUCAUAAGUCAAAGGUGAAAUCCCUCGGCUCAACUGAGGAACUGCCUUUGAAACUGUGGAGCUUGAGGCCGGGAGGGGGUAGCGGAAUUCCCAGUGUAGCGGUGAAAUGCGUAGAUAUUGGGAGGAACACCAGUGGCGAAGGCGGCUACCUGGACCGGAACUGACGCUGAUGCGCGAAAGCGUGGGUAGCAAGCAGG